UUUCUUUUCAUUCACACCAACAACUAUUUAAACCUCAAAACCAUGUUGUAAAACAAUCUCCUACCCCAAACAAAAUGGACACAAACACAACAACUACCCAUAGCCUAGAAAUUGACACGACAAAUGACUUUGAGUUUGAAUCAAAGUAUUUUAAGCUCGAAAAACAAAUAUUGAAAUUAAUAGCCGAAGACGAGAAUGAAACUCUUUUCGCCCCAAUGAACGCCAAACAUUUAUCCCCUGUGCGAAUCAAUAAACGAAGAUAUAUCUUGGAGCAAAAAAUUGAAGGCCAUUUGUGUUGGAAACAUAAUUUUCAAAAUACUACGGAAUCAGUACGAGUUUUGCUCAAGAACUCGUGGAGGAACAUGAGACAUGGAACCGGUGUUUUCAUUCCUUGUGCCGGAAAAGAAAAUAUUCCAAGUGGACGUUGCAAAGGCAAAGCACGAAAGUAAAAUCAACUCGUUGAUUACUUAAGAAGAGGCACAAUACAGUUUUAUCAAUUCAAUUUGUAGGGGUCUCGUUGCAGUUUGUGCCGUUUUGUUUUUGAAUAAAAUUUCAGUUGGUCGUUCAAAAAAAAUUUGGUUGAAUGAUUUGUAGGGACAUUGUACUUUAUUAAUGCCAAAUAAUCAAUCUAAAACAUACCGAGAAUCCGAGAUGAUAA